rnacentral:rRNA from 1 species
CAAGUCGAACGAGAAAGUCCGCAAGGAUGAGUACAGUGGCGACCGGGUGAGUAACACGUGACUAACCUACCUCUUAGUGGGGAAUAACUCCGGGAAACCGGAGCUAAUACCGCAUAACAUCGCAAGAUCAAAGCCGAAAGGCGCUGGGAGAGGGGGUCGCGGCUGAUUAGCUAGUUGGUAGGGUAACGGCCUACCAAGGCAAAGAUCGGUAUCCGGCCUGAGAGGGCGCACGGACACACUGGAACUGAAACACGGUCCAGACUCCUACGGGAGGCAGCAGUGGGGAAUUUUGCGCAAUGGGGGAAACCCUGACGCAGCAACGCCGCGUGGAGGAUGAAGUCCCUUGGGAUGUAAACUCCUUUCGACCCGGACGAUACUGACGGUACGGGUGGAAGAAGCACCGGCUAACUCUGUGCCAGCAGCCGCGGUAAUACAGAGGGUGCGAGCGUUGUUCGGAAUUAUUGGGCGUAAAGGGCGCGUAGGCGGUGCGGUAAGUCACCUGUGAAAUCUCCUGGCUCAACUGGGAGCUUGCAGGCGAAACUGCCGUGCUGGAGUGUGGGAGAGGUGCGUGGAAUUCCUGGUGUAGCGGUGAAAUGCGUAGAUAUCAGGAGGAACACCUGUGGCGAAAGCGGCGCACUGGACCACAACUGACGCUGAGGCGCGAAAGCUAGGGGAGCAAACAGGAUUAGAUACCCUGGUAGUCCUAGCCCUAAACUAUGGAUGCUUGGUGUGAUCGGUACCCAAUCCGAUCGUGCCGAAGCUAACGCGAUAAGCAUCCCGCCUGGGGAGUACGGUCGCAGGCUGAAACUCAAAGGAAUUGACGGGGGGCCCGCACAAGCGGUGGAGCAUGUGGUU